rnacentral:rRNA from 1 species
CCGGAGCUUGCUCCGGUGAAAGUGGCGCACGGGUGAGUAUCGCGUGGAUAACCUGCCCUGGUAUCUGGGAUAACAUCUCGAAAGGGGUGCUAAUACCGGAUAAGCCCACGGACUCCUCGGAGUCUGCGGGAAAAGGUGGCCUCUAUUUAUAAGCUUCCGUAUCAUGAUGGGUCCGCGUACCAUUAGCUAGUUGGUAGGGUAAUGGCCUACCAAGGCGACGAUGGUUAGCUGGUCUGAGAGGAUGAUCAGCCACACUGGAACUGACACACGGUCCAGACUCCUACGGGAGGCAGCAGUGAGGAAUUUUGCGCAAUGGGGGCAACCCUGACGCAGCAACGCCGCGUGAGUGAUGAAGGCCUUUGGGUCGUAAAACUCUGUCAGCAGGAAAGAAGUUACAUGUGGUUAAUACCCAUGUGUAUUGACGGUACCUGCAAAGGAAGCACCGGCUAACUCCGUGCCAGCAGCCGCGGUAAUAC